UAGGGAAUCUUCCGCAAUGGACGCAAGUCUGACGGAGCAACGCCGCGUGAGUGAAGAAGGAUUUCGGUUCGUAAAACUCUGUUGUUAGAGAAGAACAGCGCAUAGAGUAACUGUUAUGCGUGUGACGGUAUCUAACCAGAAAGCCACGGCUAACUACGUGCCAGCAGCCGCGGCAAUACGUAGGUGGCAAGCGUUGUCCGGAUUUAUUGGGCGUAAAGCGAGCGCAGGCGGUCAAUUAAGUCUGAUGUGAAAGCCCCCGGCUCAACCGGGGAGGGUAAUUGAAAUCUGGUUGACUUGAGUGCAGAAGAGGAGAGUGGAAUUCCAUGUGUAGCGGUGAAAUGCGUAGAUUUAUGGAGGAACACCGGUGGCGAAAGCGGCUCUCUGGUCUGUAACUGACGCAGAGGCUCGAAAGCGUGGGGCGCGAACAAG
rnacentral:rRNA from 1 species